GUGUGUCAGGAUGGCCGAGUGGUCUAAGGCGCCAGACUCAAGGUUUGACUCCUUCUUCAGGAAAGAGGCUUCUGGUCUCCAUUUGGAGGCGUGGGUUCGAACCCCACUUCUGACAUGUCUAUACCGUUUUAUAGUCCACUUUGGACACUCAUUUAUUUUGACUCGCUAACUUUUUCAAGGUGGCAGAAAACGUUUGUCUUUGCUUUAUUUGUGUGUCAGGAUGGCCGAGUGGUCUAAGGCGCCAGACUCAAGGUUUGACUCCUUCUUCAGGAAAGAGGCUUCUGGUCUCCAAUUGGAGGCGUGGGUUCGAACCCCACUUCUGACAUGUCUAUACCGUUUUAUAGUCCACUUUGGACACUAAUUUAUUUUGACUCGCUAACUUUUUCAAGGUGGCAGAAAACGUUUGUCUUUGCUUUAUUUGUGUGUCAGGAUGGCCGAGUGGUCUAAGGCGCCAGACUUAAG
ensembl:lncRNA